GCUGCCUCUCCCGCCGAGUUGGAGACGGAUGGGCUGGGACGGGUUUUGGGGGGGUGUCCCCAAUUCUGACUGGGAGUGGAGGAACCCCUCCUGAGAUCUCUUGUGGGGGUGCCCCCUCCCCAGGGCACUCCCCAGUCCCUGAGCCAGCCGAGAGGAAGGAGGCCAGCGAUGCGACUGGGGCGGCUCCUUUCUCCUGCACCCCAAAUGUGAGGGAUGCACCCUAAAUUUUGCUCUUUUCAAAAUAGGGGACCAGGAUCUCAGGGGAGAGUAGCUGAGGGAUCCCCUGAGCUGAGUUCCUACAGAGGGAAGAUGGUCCAAUCUUACUACACUGCCUUGCUCGGAGUCCCAGGAGAUCCACAGGUCCGGCAUGAACAGUGAGAGGUCAGAGGUGGAAGGCUCAGCAGGAGAGGAGAGGAGGAUCAGCAGAGGUCAUGAGAAGGCCAGAAUCCAGGGUCAGGCUGUCUGGAACAGGAAGUAAAAUGGGCCGAGAUGGAGCGAGCCCCCAGUGUGCUUCCAAGGCCACUCCCACCUCCCUGAAACACCCUGCUACGUACUGAUCCAAUGCCCUGCGCUGUGUAUGAGAGCACCUUCUCUUCUGAAACCCCUAUACAAGGGAGGGGCCCCUGCGGAGACCGUGCCCUGCCAUCCAGUCCUCAAGGGGAUUCUAAAAAACUAGUGACAAAGUAGGGAAGCAGCUGAGCUGGAAAGGAGUUCUGAGGACGAUGGAACCUUGGGUAAGGAGGAAGAAGGCUGCCCACCCGCCCUUUUCUGGCAGCCACCCUCCCUCACACUGUCCGUUCCUUGAUGACACAGCUGAUGUGAUUAAGAUCGUCCCCAAAUCGCU
rnacentral:lncRNA from 1 species